AGCGAACGCUGGCGGCAAGCUUAACACAUGCAAGUCGAACGAUGUAGCAAUACAUAGUGGCGGACGGGUGCGUAACACGUGGGAAUCUGCCUUUAGGUGGGGGAUAACUCAGGGAAACUUGAGCUAAUACCGCAUGAUAUCUUCGGAUCAAAGAUUUAUCGCCUAAAGAUGAGCCCGCGGCAGAUUAGCUAGUUGGUGGGGUAAUGGCCUACCAAGGCAACGAUCUGUAGCUGGUCUGAGAGGAUGACCAGCCACACUGGGACUGAGACACGGCCCAGACUCCUACGGGAGGCAGCAGUGGGGAAUAUUGGGCAAUGGGCGCAAGCCUGACCCAGCUAUGCCGCGUGAAUGAUGAAGGCCUUAGGGUUGUAAAGCUCUUUUACCCGGGACGAUAAUGACUGUACCGGGAGAAUAAGCCCCGGCUAACUUCGUGCCAGCCGCCGCAGUAA
rnacentral:rRNA from 1 species